UACGUAGGGGGCUAGCGUUGUCCGGAUUUAUUGGGCGUAAAGAGCGUGUAGGCGGCCAGGUAGGUCUGCUGUGAAAACUCGAGGCUUAACCUCGAGCUGUCGGCGGAAACCAUCUGGCUAGAGUCCGGAAGAGGAGAAUGGAAUUCCCGGUGUAGCGGUGAAAUGCGCAGAUAUCGGGAAGAACACCCGUGGCGAAGGCGGUUCUCUGGGACGGUACUGACACUGAGGCGCGAAAGCGUGGGGAGCGAACAGG
rnacentral:rRNA from 1 species